UGGGGAAUCUUGGACAAUGGGUGCAAGCCUGAUCCAGCCAUGCCGCGUGGAUGAUGAAGGCCUUAGGGUUGUAAAAUCCUUUUCGUGGGGGACGAUAAUGACGGUACCCCAAGAAGAAGCUCCGGCUAACUUCGUGCCAGCAGCCGCGGUAAUACGAAGGGGGCUAGCGUUGUUCGGAUUUACUGGGCGUAAAGCGCACGUAGGCGGACUUGUCAGUCAGGGGUGAAAUCCCAAGGCUCAACCUUGGAACUGCCUCCGAUACAGCAAGCCUAGAGAUCGGGAGAGGUGAGUGGAAUUCCUAGUGUAGAGGUGAAAUUCGUAGAUAUUAGGAAGAACACCAGUGGCGAAGGCGGCUCACUGGCCCGAUACUGACGCUGAGGUGCGAAAGCGUGGGGAGCAAACAGGAUUAGAUACCCCUGUAGUCCCUGAGCGGGCUGGCAAGGCGCAU
rnacentral:rRNA from 1 species